rnacentral:lncRNA from 1 species
GAUUCUCUCUCUAUAUCUAACUAAACCACCAUGACUCUAUAUCGCGUCCUAAUUGGCUCCCUCCGCCGCACAUCCACCACCUCUGCCCAUCAAACCCAAGCUCAAAAUCCAACCUUUCUUCUCCCAAUUCGCAAUUUCGCUUUCUCCUCAGCCGAAGAAGUCGUCGCUGAAUGCCAUCGCCACAAUCGCCGCAAUCGCCGCAAUCGCCGCCUUCGCAUCGAACCAGAUGUAUGGUUUUCGAGUAAUCCAGAAGGUAAUGCUUUCCAACCAAAUUUCAUGACAAUGUCACUGUGUUGCUGUAUGUUUGCACAAGGUUCUCUUUAUUUAUUAUCUGCAUCCAUGUCGAAGAGGCUGUAGGUUUUAUCUUUAUUAGUUUAUUACAUUUGAUGUUGAACCAUAUGCGAUGGUAUAUGUUAUGCCUUCAUCCAUUGGUAUUGAUUUGUUACAAUCGACAUAUAUUUUACUUGCUGAACUUUCACUUUGGGAGAAGAGUAGUAUAAAUCAACAACUAGGGCUUUUAUAAAUUGGAACUUAAUAACCUUUCUAAACAAUAUUUGGAACAUAAUUACCAUCAAUUUCCCUUCGUUACAAUUUUAUUGCCCAAAAGCACAAUAUUUGACUUUUGAAAAUUUAUAAAUAUAUGGCUCCAGGUGGAUAAAAUUAAAGUUAUUACAGCAUAUCUGCAGCUACAAACCAAGAAGGUUUAUAAAAAAAAGCUACAAACCAGGAAGUAAUAAAAGCAUACUAAAAAUAUAUUGCAUAAUAAGCUGGUAAGAUGAAACCAAAAUCACUCCCCAGGAAGCAAAACACCACUACGAGAACAAGACCAUAGAAUUGAAUCUGUCAACAACAAAAAUGUAAGAGAUCAAUAAUUCUAAGAGUUCCACCCAAAAAAAUAAUAUAUAAACAUAAAAGGAACAAAUUUAAAAUUAUAAUUAACUCUAAUAUUUCAAACAAAAUACAAGAUAAAUUCAAGCCAAGAUCUUGAGACAUUGCUUUCUUCUUCUUCUUUCGACUUGAUAUGUCAGUAUUUUCCCUUUGAGAACUUGUUGUAAUAUGUUAUGUCCUCUUUUCUUGCAAAGUCCACAAGUUUUUGUUUGCUUCCCUAAUUCUUUUCCACCCUUCAUCCGCUUUUGUUUAAUUACAUAUAAUUGUCUCAGUCAUCCAAGUUACUCUGUGCUUUGGCCCAUCAUAUUUGUAAUAUUGCAAAAGAAAUUCAUUUUCUAAUUCUUGAUGAACUGCAUAUUGGCUAGCUCUCCGAAGCUCCUCUUGGAACUUUUUUAAUGGAAAUGGUAUCAAAACAUUUCGAACUUGUUCCUCCAAUGGUGCCAUUGCCUUCGUCGAAGAAUUCUUAAAUUUUUUAAACAUUGAAUCAUGCACUUCUGUAUGCUCAAUAGUUUCUAUAGCAAGAUCAACCUUGGACCAAAAAAAUGAAAAAGUUAGCCCUAUAGAUAUACAAAUAAAAGUAAGUAAAAAUCACAUAAGUGAAAACAAACCUGUUGCGCAAAUGGGCUUAAACAUGUGCGUGAACCAAUGAAUCGCAGAGAGAAACUGUUUGAUUACAAUGUUCUCUUUUGUUUUUUCGAACCUGUAAGAUUCCUCAAAUUGAUAAAUGUUUUGAUGAGAGUAAUAAAUGGGCUUUGUAUUUGGUUUAGUUUUGUCAAACUCUUGAUUUUCCAUUGCUCCACUAUUGAUCAGUUUAAUGCUUUAGUUUGAUUAACUUAAUAUGAAAAUUUGUUAAUAGGAUUGCUGUCACCACUCGUUUCCAGCAAGCUUUCAUGCAACUACUUUAUAAUGCGCAGUUUGAAGAAUUGUCAGUAGCAGAUUUGAUGUUGACAUCUUCAUUAAAUACUGAUUAUCUACUAACACUUCCAAUAUACAUCGACUGGAAGAAAGCAUCAGAGUCGAACACAAUAAUAUUCAAGUGAAUUACAGCUGUACUUAUACUCAUGCACUUCUCAUUUACUGCCCAUUCAAUGCAUUUUACUUGUUUGUAUGUUGAUAAUACUUCCCCAUAAGUUUGGAGAAAAGAAAGUGUUAAGAUAGAUUCUACCUUGGAGCUUUGAUGAGAGAACAUAUGUUCAGCAACAUAUGUUGUGAUUGCAGAACAUUUAGUUAUGUUUUUUAGGUGUCCACAUUUUGUUAAAUGUUAUUUUAGCGUGUAGGUAGAAAUAGUGAAGAGAGACGAAUCAGAGGUAAUGUAAAUCCCCGACAACAUUUGGGAGGAACACCUUAUCAGUUCUAAGAGAAAACAUAAAAGAUGAAGAUGGGACUUCCUGAUAGCCUAGGUUCAAAUUCAUCCUCCGCUGGUGGUGACGUUCAACGUAUGUCACUUGAUGCUAAUGUUGCGUUCAUCUAUUAUUUUCUUGUCAUUUAUGUGUGUCUGCUACUAAUACGAAACCUUUCAAUUUUAUGAAUUAAAGGUUGUUGUCAAACAUGGAAUCGAAUUGCAUGUUGUAUUGCCACACUUGAGAUUGAGCGUGAUAGGAAAUCAAUGGGAGUGAUUGCGAGUUCCAACUCAGGAACAAACGCAUUACUUGUGAAGGUGAUACCUUUUCCCUCACUCCUUUCAGAUAGAACUAUUUCAGUUAUUAUAUAUAUUGUGGAACAUUGCAUGUUAGAAUGCAAUCUUUUUUUCUUUUCUUUUUAUGACUUAAUAGAUAAUGCAUGUUUCAUUUUUUAUUUUAUUUUUCCUUUUAUUUUUUUAAAGUAAACAUGAUCAGUGCCUCUUAUAGAAUGCAAUAUUUCAUGGAAUUUUCUCGAUAAUGCACGAGUACUUUUUCCAUUAAAACAUUCUCUUAACCAUUUGACUUUAACUUUUUGACACAAUUAACUGGUAAAAUUUGAACGAACAUACAUAUAGUGAGGUUGGUGCAUUUAUUUUGGAGUGAACCCUCGUUCUGGAAAGUCCCAGAUCACAAGAAACAAAGUCCUGACCUAAAACCCAAGAACAUUUCUUCUCUGUUACAUAACCGAGUUCAAAGGAAUAUUCCCUAAGUUUAGCUUCAAAGGAAUAUUUCUUCUCUGUUACAAUAACCGAGUUCUUUGUUGGACGGGAUGAAGUAAACCCACAGGUUUCUUAUCACCUAUGGUGCUGCUUAUUGAAUCACUUUGAGUUUGUCUAAUUUAUCGCCAUUCUUUACUUAUAUUUUAUUUUCAUGUGUAUAUAUUAUAUUUAUGUACAUAAAUUUGCAUUUGUCUGUGUUAUGAAUGCCCUAUAAAUUAAUUGGUGAGAAAAAGUUAUAAUGUAUGCGUAAUAUUUGUUCACCUUUUCACAGGUUUUUUAAAACAAUUUGGUAUAAUCAAGAGACUUAGAAUUGCGAGGAACAAUAAGGUUGGUUGUCAUUAUAUUUAUUUAAUUCUUGAUAGCAGAUCUUUUUGGGUAUUAACAAUUAAUUUGAAUUGUGUGGAGUAUCGUGUUUUUGGUAGUCCUGACUAGUUAUUAUUUUGAAAUAUGUGCAGAAAUACUGCUUCUACGACCUGCCUUACAAUACUGGGUAUCAAAUUUUCGUGCUACGUUUACGGAAGACAAGGGACGAAAUUAUGAAGUGUAUUCUAUAUAUAUGUAGAUAUAUACUUUGAUUGAAGAACUAUGGUAGCUUUAGAUAGUUAAUUGUAAAGAUAAUGAAUAAUUAUGUAGUGGAUGAUUUUAUUAAGUUAAUAAUAUUUUAGAUUUUUUGUGUUUUUGCCAUUAUUUUCUAUGGGGACAUUGAGCCAUCCAGGUACACAAAAAGAAUGUCAAAUUUUGAUUUG